UCACCUUCUAACCUAUUUAUUAAUUUUUUUUUUAUGGUUGUUAUUUUAUGAUUAUUAUUUUAUGAUUAUUAUUUUAUGAUUAUUAUUUUAUGAUUAUUAUUUAAUUACUAUUAUUUUAUUAUUAUUAUUUUAUUACUAUUAUUUUAUUAUUAUUAUUUUAUUAUUAUUAUUUUAUUAUUAUUAUAAAUUUUUUUUUAUUUUAUUUUUUUUUAUUUUAUUUUAUUUUUUUUUUUUGCUCAUUUCUUAUAGCUGUUUAAGUCUGCAAGCAUCCGAAAUGAAUGAGCUAUCGAAUGAACAAAUUGAAUUACAAAGAGAAUUUCUAAUUAAGCUGGACUUGUUUUGCAUUUUCAAAUUUAUUAUAACAAAUGAUAUUCAAAUAAUAAAAGAAGAAUGUUAUGACACAUUAAUCAAGUUAGUUAACUCUUAUGAAAUAAUUGAAAUUAAUGACAUAAAAAAACUAUUUUCAAAAAAAAAAAAACUGUAUGAAGAAGUAUUUUAUUCUUAUAAAACUACAUGUUCCGACGUAACUGAAACAAGUUUUAUACAUAAUUGGAAUAAAACUUAUUUUAACUGUACAACCGAUACUAAGUUAUAUAAUAACAAUGAAGAACCCGUGUCUAUUUUUUCAGCUAACAGCGGUUUUGAUAUGUUAAACCGUAACACAACAAAUAGUUAUCAACAUAAAAUAAAUAGUAAUUUAAAAAAUACUUUUUCUUUUAAUGAGACAGAUGCAAAAAGGAAAAAAAGAAAGAAACAAAAUGAAAGAGAAGGAAAAAGGGAAAAACUUUUUUUUUCAAAUAAUUCGUUAUUCGCUACUAAUAUUUGUAACAAAAAAUUAUUUAAAUUAUUCGAUUUACCAAAAAAUAAAAAAGUAGCUGAUUUUAUAAAAACAAAUGGCAUUAAUGGAUUAAUAAAAGAACGGUUAAAUAUUAAUUUAAAUUUCAUUAAAUUUGAUGGAAAAAAAAAAAAAAAAAAAAAAAACAGCUACAAAAAUGAGAACAACAACUGGAGCUGUGACAAUAACAAAAAAAAAAAAACUAGAGAAAGUAGAAGUUAUCAAGCUAAUAGGUUAUAUACACAAACAAAUAACGACAUCGUAGGAAACCAAAUGAGUAACGAAACGGUUAAUAAAAAUAUUGGAUUGUCAAGAAUGUAUAGUAGUGACUCUGAUAUUAUUCAUCAAAAAACCAAAAAAUUAUGUACUUUUUAUGAGUAUAUAGAAAAAAAAAAAUCCGUUAGAAAUGAGCUGUCGAAUAUGCUUAAAAACACGGAUGUUGAUGUAUCAACUUACAACCCUUCACAAAAAUUAUUAAUAAAAGAUAGAACUAAUUUAGUAGAAAAAAAUGGAAAAUGCUUGGAAGUAAGCUACCCAAGCGGUUUAGUAAAAAAAUCAAUGAAAGAAACUACGUUUGAGGUUACUGAGCAUGAAACCCCAAAUGAUACAACCCCACACGAACAGAAUAAUAUUAUAAAUCAUACAAAAAAUUUGGAAAAACAAUGCUUAUAUGUGACGUCAUUCACAAAUGAUAUGAACAGCACUCCACACUACAACUACAUAAUACACAAUAAUAUAUAUGAACGUAAGACUCUGUGUUUAGAUCAAUUUUUUACUAUUCAUAAUAUCUUAAAUAGAGACCCAAACGGGUUAAGAAAAAUAAAAACUAUGUUAAAAAACGAAAUAGGUACAAUUAGUAUAUCUCCUGUUUUUAUCAAUUUUAAUAGUACUAGAAUAUUUGAAAAUGUAUGUAAAGUCUUUAAUUUAACAAAAUGUGAUUUUAAAGAUAGUAAAAAUAUGUAUGAUAUAAUUAAGCUCUGUUUCAAUAAUGAACGGACUUUAUCUGUUUUGAAAAAUAUUUUUAUAAAUGAUUUAUACGAACAAGAACAAAAUUUAAAUGGGUUAAAUAAUAAAAACAAAAAAAAAUAUAAAAAAAAACAUUUAUUAAAAAAAAAAAAAAAAAAAGCAGAAAGUGUUUUAGAUAUAUUAGAUGAUCAAAAGAGAAUUAAUGUAUUAUAUUUUAUUAAUAGAUUUUUAUAUUCACAAAAAACGCCAUUAUCAUACAUAUUUAGGUGCUAUGAUAAAGAAGGUGUCAAUUGGGAUAAGAAAGAUGUGGAUGGUAGUGCAACUAGUUCUAGUAAUGGUAAGGAUGAUAAUUCUGUUAAUGGUUCAGAUAAUAGUUCGGUUGAUGGAAUUUGUAAUGUUUCUGGUAAUGGUACUGGUUCUUAUGUUAAUUCCGAUGCUGGUACUGGUGGUGGUACUGGUGGUGGUACUGGUGGUGGUACUAAUGGCGGUACUGGUGGUGGUACUAAUGACGGUACUGGUGGUGGUACUAAUGGCGGUACUGGUGGCGGUACUAAUGGCGGUACUAAUGGCGGUAUUAAUGGCAGUACUAAUGGCGGUACUAAUGGCGAUACCGAUGAAAACAAAUCCUUUGGUGAGCAAAAAGAACAAAACGAUGCACAACUUGAUGAACAGGUAGUUGAUUAUCUUAUUUUUUUAAUGAUAUUUGAAAAAAAAAUUGAAAGAAAUUUUUAUAAAUAUGUUAUAAAUAAAAUUAAUGAAUGUAAAAUGAGUUGGAUUUAUAGAAAUAAACAAAAUGAAUUUCCAGUUAAUAACAUAUCUGUAAUAAAACAAAUGAACAACUCAGAUCAAUAUUUUAUUGAAAUAGAAAAAGCAAAAAAAAAUGUUACAAAAAUGGAUGGCACAAGUAGUAGUAGCAGUAGCAGUAGGAGUAGUAGUAGUAGUAGUAGUAUGAAUAGGAGUAGUAGUAUGAAUAGGAGUAGUAGUAGAUACAAUGGUACGUACAACUCCAAUGCAAACUCAAAUUGUACGAAUAAACAAAACACCCUUUCAUGCAAUUUAUUUGAGUUGGAGAAAAACAAAAAAAAUGAAUGCCAUUUACAAAGCAAUAAAUCAGACCAAAUUAAUAAUACUUUAAGCUAUGAAUGGACAGAAAAAACACACAUUUAUAACAAUAGUAAACAAAAAAUAAAUAGUUGUGACAACGGUUUAAGUGGUAAACACAAUAGUGAGGUCCAUUCGGACGAGUAUAUGAUUCGAACAAAAAAAGAAGCUGAACCAUGCGAAAGGGUAAGUGAAAAAAUUGAACCAGGCGAAAGGAUAAAUGAAAAAGUAACACAUCACGAAGAAAACUACAAAAAUAAUUCGAAAAAAAAGAAAUUAUUAGCUUACAACAAUAACAAAUCAGAUAAAGAAAACGAAUUAAUAUUGUUGAAAUUCAUACAACCCUUUCCAACUAUCUAUUGGCUAAUAAAUAAAAAUAUUUGUUCUUAUAUUUCACAUUUAGAGAACACUAAUAUAAUAAAAUAUAUUGAAACUUUUAUUAAUCAAAAUGAAGAAAAUACAAAUUCCUAUAUUUUAAGAUAUUAUUUAAUAUAUGACCAUUUAAAAUAUAUAAUAAUACGUUUAAGACGUAUUAAUAAACGAAUUUUAAUUUUUUUUUAUAAUUUUUUUUUAAAUAGUAAAAAUUUUUUAAAUCAAUAUAAUUAUGUACACGACAUGUACGAUAGUAAUAAUAUUAACACUCUUGAUGAUAGUAAUGGUGUUACUGCAUAUGGUAGUACCAAUUCGAUGGAAACUACCACCGACACAACUACAGAUUCUAGUAGCUCUAUUUAUACUAACAUUUUUGAAAUCGAGCAACAAUUGUUAAAUGAAUAUGUAACAAAAUAUAAUAUACAAACUGAUGAAAUUUUAGAAAUAUUACGAAAAAUUAAUACCUUAAGAAUAAAAGGGAUAGGUGGCAUAUCAAACUUGUUAACGUUAAAAUGUAUCCAUCUCUAUUUUGCAUCUCAUUUGUCUUAUCCUAAUACGAUAGGUUACAUUUUGGAAGAAUAUUUCAAAUCAUGAAUUGCUUUGCUAAGCAAAAAUAGAAAAGAGGCACAUAUGUUGAUAUAUACAUAUGUUUUUUUUUUUUUUUUUUUUUUUUAUUUAAUUUAUUUAGUUUUUUUUUUUUUUUCUUCUUUUUUAACAAUUAACAAAAAGUAUCUAAAAAAAAAAAAAAAGGAAAAAAAAAAAUAUCCCUUUUCCAAAUUUCCAUACAUAAUAGAUGAAAAAACGUCCAUUUAUUUUAUUUUUUAUUUUCUAUUUUUUUUUUUUUUUUGGUAUUCCAAUUUUAUAACAUUUAUGUUAUAUAUGUUACGAUAAUACCUAUAAGUUUGUACGUAUAGGUACACACCACGUUUGUACGUGUGAUUACGCAUAGUUUUGUACAUGUAUGUACAUAUAUAUACGAACAAACAUAAAACCGCUUAUUUAAUUUAGUUAACUAACUCAAUUUAUAUUUCUACUAAGGUUAUUGCAACUUAGACAUUUUAAAAUUGUUUUUUCAAGCAUGAAACGGUUUUCUUUGUGCCUAUAUUUGUGCCUAUAUUUGUGCCUAUAUUUAUGCCUAUAUUUGUGCCUAUAUUUGUGCCUAUAUUUGUGCCUAUAUUUGUGCCUAUAUUUGUGCCCAUACUUGCACCCAUAUUUGUACCCACAUUUGCACCCAUAUUUGUACCCAUAUUUGUACAGAUAUGUGCAUAUACUUUUUUCUCUUAACCCUAUAUAUACAUACGCUCUUAAUCUUGUAGUGAGAACUUUUUCAUAAAGAAAUUUUGCAUAAACAUUGUUAAUUUUUACUUGUUUAUAAAUAUAGCAGUGAUAAAUAAAAUUAAGCAAACAAAAAAGAAAAAAAAUAUA
ensembl:lncRNA